ACACCUCAACUCUCAUGGUUUGCCAUGAAGAGCUUGGACUUUGGGGGUUUGCUGGCCGUUCGGUCGGCUCCCCUUAAAUGAAUCAGCUUGCCAGUGUUUGGUGGCGUCGCGGGUGUGAUAACUAUCUACGCUCACGGUCGCCUGCCAGGUAACCUUUGUCGCCAAAGGUUUGCUGGAGCUUACAAACGUCUCUCCUCAGCGAAGACAACUGUUGAACGU
rnacentral:misc_RNA from 1 species